GUGUGUGUGUGUGUGUGUGUGUGUGUGUGUGUAUAUAUAUAUAAUGCAAACAUACUCUGCAUUAUAUAUACACACACACUAUACAAACACUCGC